rnacentral:rRNA from 1 species
UACAGAGGGUGCGAGCGUUAAUCGGAAUUACUGGGCGUAAAGCGCACGUAGGUGGCGACGUAAGUCGGGUGUGAAAGCCCCGGGCUCAACCUGGGAAUUGCAUUUGUGACUGCAUCGCUGGAGUACGGCAGAGGGGGAUGGAAUUCCGCGUGUAGCAGUGAAAUGCGUAGAUAUACGGAGGAGCACCAGAGGCGAAGGCGGAUCGCUGGGCCAACACUGACGCUGAUGUGCGAAAGCUAGGGGAGCAAACGGG